rnacentral:rRNA from 1 species
CCUACGGGGGGCUGCAGUGGGGAAUAUUGGACAAUGGGGGGAACCCUGAUCCAGCCAUGCUGCGUGUGUGAAGAAGGCCCUCGGGUUGUAAAGCACUUUCAGUGAGGAAGAACGCCUGGUGGUUAAUACCCAUCAGGAAAGACAUCACUCACAGAAGAAGCACCGGCUAACUCCGUGCCAGCAGCCGCGGUAAUACGGAGGGUGCGAGCGUUAAUCGGAAUUACUGGGCGUAAAGCGCGCGUAGGUGGCUUGAUAAGCCGGUUGUGAAAGCCCCGGGCUCAACCUGGGAACGGCAUCCGGAACUGUCAAGCUAGAGUGCAGGAGAGGAAGGUAGAAUUCCCGGUGUAGCGGUGAAAUGCGUAGAGAUCGGGAGGAAUACCAGUGGCGAAGGCGGCCUUCUGGACUGACACUGACACUGAGGUGCGAAAGCGUGGGUAGCAAACAGGAUUAGAUACCCUGGUAGUC